CCUUUCGAGGAGGGGGAUGCCGAAGGCAGGACUGGUGACUGGGGUGAAGUCGUAACAAGGUAGCCGUACCGGAAGGUGUGGCUGGAUCACCUCCUUU
rnacentral:rRNA from 1 species